UCUCACACUACUCUGGUACGAUUAUUUAAUCUUUAUUUUAGUCCUACUUUUAAGCAUUUUGAUUGGUAUUUAUUUCGGUUUUUUUUCUAAAAACAACCAAUCUGAUCCUUUGGAAUAUCUACAAGGAAAGAAACAAAUGGACGCAUUCCCAGUUGGUGUAUCAAUAACUGCAAGUUUCAAUUGCACAUCCGUUCUUUUAGGCUUCUGUUCCGAAACAUACAGUUUUGGUGCAAACUCAUUUUUAAUGAUUUUUGGCCUAAUUAUAGCCUACUAUGCUAACAAAUUUAUCUGCUUACCUGUAUUUUACAAUCUUGAAAUGGACACAGUUUAUGAAUAUUUGGAAAAAAGGUUUGAUAAAAGGUCAAGACAACUCGCAUCGGGCAUUUUUACAAUUUGCAACAUUUCUUUUCUAUCAGUGACGAUAUAUACGCCAGCUUUGGCCUUAUCUGCAGUCACUGGAUUUCAAUUGCAAUACGUUAUAGUUGGUGUCAGUGGUGUUUGUAUUUUUUAUACGAGU